UACGAAAGGUCCAAGCGUUACUCGGAAUUACUGGGCGUAAAGCGCGCGUAGGCGGCCUUGUAUGUCGAUUGUGAAAGCCCCGGGCUCAACCUGGGAACAGCAGUCGGAACUGCAAGGCUUGAAUGUUGGAGAGGGUGGGGGAAUACCUAGUGGAGAAGUGAAAUUCGUAGAGAUUAGGUGGAACACCAGAGGCGAAGGCGCCUGCCUGGCCAAACAUUGACGCUGAGGCGCGAAAGCGUGGGUAGCAAACAGG
rnacentral:rRNA from 1 species